rnacentral:rRNA from 1 species
AUUGAACGCUGGCGGCAUGCCUUACACAUGCAAGUCGAACGGUAACAGGUCUUCGGAUGCUGACGAGUGGCGAACGGGUGAGUAAUACAUCGGAACGUGCCUAGUAGUGGGGGAUAACUACUCGAAAGAGUGGCUAAUACCGCAUGAGAUCUACGGAUGAAAGCAGGGGAUCGCAAGACCUUGUGCUACUAGAGCGGCCGAUGGCAGAUUAGGUAGUUGGUGGGAUAAAAGCUUACCAAGCCGACGAUCUGUAGCUGGUCUGAGAGGACGAUCAGCCACACGGGGACUGAGAAACGGCCCAGACUCCUCCGGGAGGCAGCAGUGGGGAAUUUUGGACAAUGGGCGCAAGCCUGAUCCAGCAAUGCCGCGUGCAGGAUGAAGGCCUUCGGGUUGUAAACUGCUUUUGUACGGAACGAAAAGCCCCGGGUUAAUACCCUGGGGUCAUGACGGUACCGUAAGAAUAGCACCGGCUAACUACGUGCCAGCCGCCGCCGUAA